CCUACGGGUGGCAGCAGUGGGGAAUAUUGGGCAAUGGGCGCAAGCCUGACCCAGCAACGCCGCGUGAAGGAAGAAGGCUUUCGGGUUGUAAACUUCUUUUGUCAGGGACGAAGCAAUUGACGUUACCUGACGAAUAAGCCACUGCUAACUACGUGCCAGCAGCCGCAGUAAUACGUAGGUGGCAAGCGUUAUCCGGAUUUAUUGGGUGUAACGGCCGUGUAGGCGGGAAUGCAAGUCAGAUGUGAAAACUAUGGGAUCAACCCCUAGACUGCAUUGGAAACUGUAUUUGGUGAGUGCUGGAGAGGCAAUCGGAAUUCCGUGUGUAGAGGUGAAAUGCGUAGAUAUACGGAGGAACACCAGUGGGGAAGGCGGAUCGCUGGACAGUAACCGACGCUGAGGCGCGAAAGCGUGGGGAGCCAACAGGAUUAGAUACCCUGGUAGUC
rnacentral:rRNA from 1 species